rnacentral:rRNA from 1 species
GAUGAACGCUGGCGGCGUGCCUAAUACAUGCAAGUCGAGCGAACAGACGAGGAGCUUGCUCCUCUGACGUUAGCGGCGGACGGGUGAGUAACACGUGGAUAACCUACCUAUAAGACUGGGAUAACUUCGGGAAACCGGAGCUAAUACCGGAUAAUUAUUGAAACGGAAUGGUUAAUUGUUAAAGACGGGUUUUGUUGUAACUAUUGGUGGAAUCCGCGCCGCAUUAGCUAGUUGGUAAGGUAACGGCUUACCAAGGCAACGAUGCGUAGCCGACCUGAGAGGGUGAUCGGCCACACUGGAACUGAGACACGGUCCAGACUCCUACGGGAGGCAGCAGUAGGGAAUCUUCCGCAAUGGGCGAAAGCCUGACGGAGCAACGCCGCGUGAGUGAUGAAGGUCUUCGGAUCGUAAAACUCUGUUAUUAGGGAAGAACAAAUGUGUAAGUAACUAUGCACGUCUUGACGGUACCUAAUCAGAAAGCCACGGCUAACUACGUG